CGAAGGAUGAUGAUGUUUGCCGCCCCAGACUGAGUGUUUGAUGAAACAGCAAAUUCUGACUUCGCA